rnacentral:tRNA from 2 species
GAGUCCUUAGCUCAGCCGGUAGAGCAACUGACUUUUAAUCAGUAGGUCGUGGGUUCGAGUCCCACAGGACUCA